GCUACGGGAGGCAGCAGUGAGGAAUAUUGGUCAAUGGACGAGAGUCUGAACCAGCCAAGUAGCGUGAAGGAUGACUGCCCUAUGGGUUGUAAACUUCUUUUAUAUGGGACUAAAAUGUUCCACGUGUGGGAUUUUGUAUGUACCAUAUGAAUAAGGAUCGGCUAACUCCGUGCCAGCAGCCGCGGUAAUACGGAGGGUCCGAGCGUUAUCCGGAUUUAUUGGGUUUAAAGGGAGCGUAGGUGGAUUGUUAAGUGAGUUGUGGAAGUUUGCGGCUCAACCGGAAAAUUGCAGUUGAAACUGGCAGUCUUGAGGACAGUGGAGGUGGGCGGAAUUCGUGGUGUAGCGGUGAAAUGCUUAGAUAUAACGAAGAACUCCGAUUGCGAAGGCAG
rnacentral:rRNA from 1 species